CAGACAGAAGCCCAGAACUUAAACCUGGAAGCCUGGAGGAUGGAACGGGUACUAGCUUGCUAGGGUUCGUGUCCGGCGGCGGCGACUGCAGCUGGAACGCCGACGGCGCAGCUCAGUGGACGCUCCCAUCGACCAUUCCCAGGUGGUCGUGUACUUGAUCCAUUUUGUACUCGCCUUGACCCUACCAUGGUAGAAGCACUGGUCUGCACCAAAGAUUGGAUAGCUGGAGCAAGAAAAGGUUAUAUAGUAGUACCUUAUAUUUAUUUACAAUUUAAUUAGUCAUUAGUUGUGAUCAAUUUGUAAUAUUGUGAACUUGUGAUCUUUGUGAUCAACCUGUUAUAUUGUGAACUUGUGAUCUUUGUGAUCAA